ACAUGAAGCUGCAUCUCAUCCCACACGCUGUAAUAUUGUGCCUAAGUGAGAUAAUCAGCGCCCAGGAUGACUCCAGCCUGACUGAAAGGCCUUAUGUGGUCCUGCAGAAGCAGAACUUAGUAACACUUGGGAGUGUCCUCGCUGUCCUGCUGCUGCUGAUGAUCAUCAUGGCUGUUUGUGUCUACAAACCUUUGGCUCGUCGCUGAAACUACAUUUGAAGCCAGAGCCAAUCCUUUGACGUAAAGGGCAUUUGAGUGACAGCUGCAAUAUCCGUUCCAGCUCCUCUUCCUCCUGUUGCCUCAUCUUCUCCUCCUCUUCUUGAGCUCGAGCAGAGAGCUCCAUGGCCAGGCGGAGCUCUGAGUCUUGGCUGGAAGCAGAGGGAGAGCUAGCCGGGCUGACGCUGU